GAGCUCUUCAGUCAGAC
rnacentral:miRNA from 1 species